AUACGUAGGUGGCAAGCGUUAUCCGGAUUUACUGGGCGUAAAGGGCGUGUAGGCGGUCUUGCAAGUCAGAAGUGAAAUUCCUGAGCUCAACUCGGGCGCUGCUUCUGAAACUGCAGGACUUGAGUGAUGGAGGGGAUAGCGGAAUUCCUAGUGGAGCGGUAAAAUGCGCAGAUAUUAGGAAGAACACCGGUGGCGAAGGCGGCUAUCUGGACAGAAACUGACGCUGAGGCGCGAGAGCGUGGGGAGCAAACAGGAUUAGAUACCCUGGGAGUCCACGCCGUAAACGAUGAAUACUAGGUGUAGGGGGUAUCGACUCCCUCUGUGCCGCAGUUAACACAAUAAGUAUUCCGCCUGGGGAGUACGGCCGCAAGGUUGAAACUUAAAGGAAUUGACGGGG
rnacentral:rRNA from 1 species